UACGAAGGGGGCUAGCGUUGUUCGGAAUCACUGGGCGUAAAGCGCACGUAGGCGGAUUGUUAAGUCAGGGGUGAAAGCCUGGAGCUCAACUCCAGAACUGCCUUUGAUACUGGCAAUCUCGAGUCCGGAAGAGGUAAGUGGAACUGCGAGUGUAGAGGUGAAAUUCGUAGAUAUUCGCAAGAACACCAGUGGCGAAGGCGGCUUACUGGUCCGGUACUGACGCUGAGGUGCGAAAGCGUGGGGAGCAAACAGG
rnacentral:rRNA from 1 species